GUUUGUUAUGAUGUUAACACCCAAAUUCUGUUUGCAUCCUAAUGUUUACUAGAAAAUUAGAGAAGAUUGGAAGGCUGGAAGUCAGUGCAGAAUUUGGACCUUAUGAGAAAUCAACUUUUGAAACUUAGGAUGAAUCCUAUACCAUUGGGAAGAUGAAGACAAAAUUUUAUAAAGGCCAGAAAUACCUUUUUGACCCUGAAAUUACAUCACAAAAGCAGCUACUGUUGACAGAUCUUGUUUUUAAGAGAGACCAGUCAAGAGAGGACUGAGCUGUG
rnacentral:lncRNA from 1 species